CAAACCUUCCUACUGGCUCCAAGGGUGUCUUGUAUGAUUUACGGACGAUGCUGAUCACGUGCAUACUGUAGUUUAUGCGGAUGCUGUACGGAGGAUCGCUUGUAGGAUAUUCGCAAUGAACGAUGAUCUUACAGCGACGACUUCAAUGCCCAAAGCCGACAAUUUAACAGGAUAGAAGUCUGUAAACAGAAAAGACGAAAGUCAUUGACAUUGGCUGAUCAGCAAGUUACGACACAAUCCGAUCGACGCCAGGAAAUUGUUCAAGGAUCAAAGAUCCACGUGAAUCUCAGAAUUCGCGAGAGAUAUCCUCGAGUAAGCGAAACUAAAGAGGGACCUCGAGGAAUCUGUCUUGAUAAAGAAACAGAGAGGAAGCACUGGCAAAGAGGAAAAGCAGAGGAGAGCGCAGAGCAGCGAGAAGCGCCGAGACGCCGAGCGUCUCGAAAUAGCCUGGCAUAUCGGUGGUUUAAUAUCCGAAUGGUCACGCAACAAUGCAUACGAUGACCUCAAACUUAGCCGACCGCUUGCGAAACCGUCUCGUAACACCAAGAACUACACUAGAGUCUUUUCUCUACGUACCGUGGAUCCUUUGGUUAAUCGCACCGAUGAUCACGACCGUGGAUCGCACGAAAGAACUGUCAAUCCGUUCGUCUGCAGUCACGGGUACUAUUCAAACGUCAAAGAUGGCGUUGAGAAGUGAUUUUUAGUUUUACCGCGAGGGAGAGCCACUGCGGAAAUUCAAGUAACUUCGAACGUUUUAACGGAAACUUCUAAUUGACACACGUCGAUUCGCUCUGCCACAAUGAAGAAUCGUAUACUGGACUGUUAAAGGAUCAAAUUCCCAGUGAAUAAUACAUGAGUGCAAAGCCAAGUGCACAUCUAUGCAAAGUGUGAAUAUCCGUACUUAUGUGUAUGGGGUUAUGCGUCACUCGCUAUUGGACAGUCGGAACUGCAGUGUGAAGACCGUAUGAGGCCGUAUGUGAUUCGGCCGCGGAAAACAGUACGAGAGCCAUGCUAGUUGACAGAUGACAAACGUUGGAUAUCAUGAUUGGCCGUUUUCGAAAAUACAAGCAAAUCCCGAAUGAGCUCCGAGGCCGAUAGGCGUUAUCAGAAAUCGUCCGUAACUCGUGAACGACUGGUGAUAACGUGACGAAAAAAAAAAGUUAAAACGGCGAAAUUGUUUAGAAUCGACCACAAAAAGAAUGAAGGCUCUAUCGCAAUUGGAAGCCAAGAUAUAAAAUGGUGGUAUUUGGUAGCCCAAGGUGCGGCUCGGAUUCCACAACAGAGUCGGCGCAGACCGGAGUCCAGCCAGGAGCGAGCGGAACUUUCCACGAGCAAGUAUUUCCUACUCCUAGUAACAACCACACUCGACAUCAAUUUCCAUACAGACUGUAUAUGCAAAAACCUUAUUUUCGUUCUAUAAAAAAAUUUUCUAAUCCACCAAACCAAAUUGGACCAUAUUAAAACCAAAAAAAAAAAACGUCCCAACCCUAAAAAACCUAACCAAAGGAAAGCCUCACGUUAAUCGCCAGUCAAUUAACCCCUACAGGAAGUCCAACAAAGAGUAGCCAUUUUGGUACCACAAGCGGUACCAGAUGUCAAAAAUGCAGAUCAGCCCACGUGACCGGAUUGUCAAAAAAGAAAAAGAAUCCACCGAAAAAGUCUAAUCUCCAAAAUGAAGCGUGCAGCAUCCCUCCAGUACCAAAGGGUCAAAGGUCAUCGUAAGUCCAAUCGACAGCGAGAGGAAGGUGCAGAGGACCCAGAAGACACAGAAGGUCCAGCCGGUAGCCGACGAAGAGGAUGAACCUGAAGCAUCCAGGAGCGCCGUUACAAAAUUCAACUUCGUUUCGCCUACAUAGAGACACAGGAGUGCGCCUCUAUAUACCUUGUACCCCCGAUAGUAAUUCUCGUCUCCAUGGUAACACCCCCGAGGCGUCCCCCUGCGCCCCCCUGCGUCCACCCGCGCACACAGUCCUCGACCACCCCAACUCCAUAGGAGCGUCUAUCGAUCCGUCGACGCUCGACGUUCACUAUCAUUCGGAACUUUGAGGAAACUACUGGUUAACGUCGGAGACUCUGCGCUACGGCUGAAGUAACCAGCGAGAACGGUGCCAAUCAGUGUUACGUGGUUUGUUUCGUAACAGACUCGCGAUACGAAUAUACGCGAGUCGUGCUCCCGACACGCAAACGGCUACGAGAGAGUUUCAGAUUCAGAUGAAUUUAUUAUAUCGCCAAGACCAGAGUCAGGAUCCGCACCUGGUACCUGGGUUUAUCUCAAGAGAGCAAAAGGAGAAUGCAAACUCUUUAAACGAGAUAAAGAAGAGGAAGUAGAAUUCGUCUGGGCCAAUCUACAAAAUUAACACCCUCGUGGCAGCCGAUCAUCAUAAGGAUACCAUACGAGUCUAAUUAGAAAAGUUGCAUAUUUUUGUAAAUACUAUAAAAAAAAUAAUAUCAAUAAUGAUGAUUAGUAAUAUUAAUAAUUGAAUUGGCCCAAGAUUAGGUAAUUAUUUUUAAUUGAUAAUUUAAUGAAAAUUAUAUAUACAUACAUAUAGGCGAAGAUGAUCCAACGUUACUGUCAACGAGUAUCCUUCGUCCUGAAGUCCCGUCCCUUAAUCUUUGUGAGUAUAUUUGUCCGUUCGAGUAUUUCCGUAUAAUAAAAGUUCAUUGACCCUUGGGAAAAUUGUUACCGGAAUUCAACAAGUACACCAAAGUCUGUUUAGGAAUUGCGAAACGAUUCUCAUGUCCAUCUUCGGGCGAGCAGGGCUAAUCAAGUCCUUCUGGAGAUGACGUCUUAAGUAUCAGUUACAGAUUGACUUGGACCAGUGGGUUAUCAUCCUCCCAGAAAUACUUGGGUCUAUCCUGUUUAGACAUCCGUCUGUCAGGGCGUACCUUCAUGCCGACGCUUAAUAAAAUGAUGAGACAGACCGUCUGUCUGCGGUUCGCCGACCGACUGCCGAGUGUACAGGGACCACCGGAAGUGGCCCAUCACCGCCCCACAUUCUCAACUUCCGCUCUUGUCGCUCGCUCGAGCGUCGCUUCCACGACGACGAACCUCCCGUGGAAAGGACGCGUCGCCAAGGAAGAUCGUAACAAGACAAAAAGAGAAGAAGAAAAAAAAAGAUAAGAUCAGGGGGGGGUCAAAAUGGGGUAAUAACGAAAAAAAAAGUCCCUAAUUCAAAUAUAUUUGCAGAUUCACACCGGAGAGGAAUUUUGGUCCAUCCGAAGCAUCCCCAGUGAAUGGCGUCAUCGAGCAUCGACAGGAUUCAUUAUUACAGUGAAAAAAAGAAAAGCGACAGUCGACGGAGAAACCCAGGCAUAAAGGUGAAUGCACAACGGACGUAACGCAAAAAGGCGCCUAUAGCACGGCAAGCGUAAAGAUGGCGAGCGCCGGUGGAAGCGUCGUCGUCCCCUCUCCCCUGGCGUCCCUUUCACCGACGACAGGAAACAGUCUACCAGGGUACUACUUGGAAAGCUGGCGUCGAAAGGCGUCGCGACGGCAUUAUCGUUUCUCUACGUGGCUCGAUCGAUCGGCGACCUCCGAUUACAGAAAAGUGCCCCUUCGAAUUCUGCAUCGACUGUCUGCUCUCUUUUUACUUCCAGCCGCAGCGAGUGGUCUUAUAUGUGUCAUAUGUACGUCUAGCUUACUUAUUUAUAAGCGUAUACGGUGACAAGUGUAUACGUAUCUCUCUAUAUAUAUAUAUACAAUCUACAUACGUAAACGGUCAAGGUUCGCACAGCUCCAGUUCCUAUCUCUGGAUCCAGAUCGUUAUUUACGUACCGCUGAUUAUUUUCAGCAUUUUAGCAACGUUUCACGGAGGUUAUCUUAAGGCUUGGCGAACUCGAGGGCGAUCGGUUAUGUAAUACAGUAACCAUUAUGAAUAUUCAUAAUCGUCAGACACACAUACCUAUAUACAUAGAGAGAUAAGUAUCGUGAACAGAGUGUAGACAUAAAAUUAGCAUAACUCGUCCGCCAUUAGCAAUUACGAUUACCGGUAAAAUCAAAUAGUACUUAUGUGUCAUGAAUGGUCAAUACCAAAUAAAUUGAAGCGCACAAGAGUUAUGGGAAUGGGCUGAUGUGUUGUCGGGUAUAAGAUUUCAAGUCCUAAUUGUUAACGGUGUCAAUUGAUAUUUACAUUCUUAAUAAAGGUAGCGAUUAACAGUACCCAGCCCAAGACCCUUAAAUAUACAUUGGCCAGCCAUCUUGACGGCUAGCCAGAAGCAAAAUGGCCAAAGAGCCGGGUGCCACGCCGGCAGAGCCGAGGUCCGAGGGACUUCUGGUCGGAGGUCAUAGGCCAUCGUAAAACUUGGAUUUUUUGGUACACGUAGUCGAGGUGAGUUCGAGGGGGUGAACGGGAGGGGGAGGGGCGUGGCCUCGCAGCAACCCCUUGCCCUCUAGCAAACCCCUUUAAUUCGGUGUUGCGCGCGACAAUGCACCCCCGUUAAGCGAACGUAAGAAUUAUCACGAAUCAGGCUGUGCGAUUGGGGAUCUAUAGAUCCCUGGUAUGGUAUAGGAUUUCUUGAACGUGAUCCAAGCAGCGGUACCAGGCCGGUGAGCUUGAGUGUUUCUAUGGCGGCGACGUUAAUGGCACUAAGUAUAUGUAGUAUGACGUGGGGUUAUGUACGGGGAAGUAACACUCGAUGGUCAGUUUCGAAUAAUUACGCUAGAUCGCUUGAUUGAUUUAACAUGGCUAUUCGAGCGUUUCCUAGCAGUUCUAUCUUAUCGGAGACAGUUUCCCGGAAUCGCAAUAAAUCCUUCCAGCCACUGGGAAUGUUGUGUCGGUUUUAAUGAGCCUGCUCGACUUCUAUUUACCAGCAGUCGCCACGCGAGUGUAACAUAAGCACGAUCGUGGCGCGGAGCAGUGAUUUCCAUAGAUUUUGAAAAUCUUAUUAAUAAAUUCAAAUUCACGAAAUUUUGACCCACCGUUCGGAAACUCACAGAUCGAAUAAUAGGAAAAGGCAUUUUGACGUUUCUGUAGUAAGCACAUGUAGCUGCUAAUGGUUUUGAAAUCAUGGAAUUUGACACGUGCUCGCCACGUGGCCUGUGACGUUUACUGGACGUAGACUAAGGACAAUGUUUAUUGUCAAAACCAAGUAAAUACGUAUACCUGUACAUAGUCAUAACUCAUAGGCAUCACGGUAGUCGACCGUUCGAAGAAUCCAAAACUGUUAACCGUUUCAUAGAAAUGGAAUAAAGGCGAAAAAAUAAAAAAAAAAACAAAAGCAUGACCGUA